UACAGAGGGCUCAAGCGUUGUUCGGAUUCAUUGGGCGUAAAGGGUGCGUAGGCGGCGCGGCAAGUCGGGUGUGAAAUCUCGGAGCUUAACUCCGAAACUGCAUUCGAUACUGCCGUGCUUGAGGACUGGAGAGGAGACUGGAAUUUACGGUGUAGCGGUGAAAUGCGUAGAUAUCGUAAGGAAGACCAGUGGCGAAGGCGGGUCUCUGGACAGUUCCUGACGCUGAGGCGCGAAGGCCAGGGGAGCAAACGGG
rnacentral:rRNA from 1 species